rnacentral:rRNA from 1 species
UACGAAGGGGGCUAGCGUUGCUCGGAAUCACUGGGCGUAAAGCGCACGUAGGCGGAUCUUUAAGUCAGGGGUGAAAUCCUGGAGCUCAACUCCAGAACUGCCUUUGAUACUGGGGAUCUCGAGUCCGGAAGAGGUGAGUGGAACUCCGAGUGUAGAGGUGAAAUUCGUAGAUAUUCGGAAGAACACCAGUGGCGAAGGCGGCACACUGGUCCGGUACUGACGCUGAGGUGCGAAAGCGUGGGGAGCAAACAGG